UACGUAGGGGGCUAGCGUUGUCCGGAAUCAUUGGGCGUAAAGCGCGUGUAGGCGGUCCGGUAAGUCCGCUGUGAAAGUCGGGGGCUCAACCCUCGAAUGCCGGUGGAUACUGUCAGACUAGAGUACGGAAGAGGCGAGUGGAAUUCCUGGUGUAGCGGUGGAAUGCGCAGAUAUCAGGAGGAACACCUAUAGCGAAGGCAGCUCGCUGGGACGGUACUGACGCUGAGACGCGAAAGCGUGGGGAGCAAACAGG
rnacentral:rRNA from 1 species